CUGAUGGCACCUAAGAGGCAGACUCGUUGGCCAAUUGGAUCCAUGUCAUGUAGUACAGAUUCACACCACAAUGAUUCACAAUCAGUUCCAUCCCAUAAUCCAACCCCAAACCCAGUCCCGUCACAUCCCCAGCAUCCUGAAGAGGACUUGAUCCACUCACAAUCCAACCCCCAAGACUCACAUAGUCAGCAAGGUACAAGUUCCAUGUCAUCUACUGCCAAGAAAGGAAGAGGAAUAUUAAGACAAAUUUCAAAGUGGGGAAAGGAAAAGAUUCAUAUUGAAUUUGAUGCUGAAGGACAACCAAUUGGGGAGAUGGCAACUAAGUUGGAAACCCAACUAGGUGUGAUGGUAGGGAGUAUUGCUCCUUUUACAUUUACUGAUUAGAGAUCACCAGGGAUGAAACCAUAUAAGGAGCGCAUCUGGCAAGAGGUCUUGCCAUGAGACAGAUGCGGCUCGUUUAUCAAAAAUACCGCCUCGGGUGGACCUAGAACAUUGGAAGGUUCUUGUAAAGUAUUGGAGAUGUGAGCAAACACAGGAACGUAGUGCGACAAAUCGUGCCAAUCGAAAUAAGCAAAAGAUGGGUCACACAAGCGGUAGGCGAUCACAUCCUCAGGUUAGACACCAGAUGACUAUUGAAAAUGGAGAUGACCCAGAUAGAAUCAAGCUUUUUAAAAAGAUACACACCAAAAAGAGCGGAGAAAUAGUAGACUCUACAUCUUCAUAUAUAAUCGUAUGUAUUUCUAAAAUUUGAAAGUUGUAGAUAUAUUUUAUUUCUUUUACUUGUCGAUUUAUGUAACUAAUUUGUGAAAUGUUUCUUGAGGAAUAAAUGGAUGAAAGGUUGUCACAAAUACCUGCUGAUGAACAAACCCCAGAUUCGCUAGAGGAUGUCUUUACUCAAAUAUUAGGCAAAGAUGGGCAUGGCAGGGUAAGGAUGGGAGGACUUGGAACAUGCCCAACUAAGGUUAGACAAAGACAACAAUAUCAGGUGCCCCAAGAGUAGUAUGACCAAAUGCGUGUGCAAAUUACUGCCGAGCUAGAAGAAAAAUUUCAAGUUCAAAUCCAAAGUCAAGUUCAAAUGCAAGUUCGUGCAAUACUUGAGGCAAUGAGACAUGCACCACCGACUCCAAGCAAUACACCACAACCGAGACAGCCAUCCUCAUAUGCUAGUGCUUCUGCUGCACAUACAAGCAAACCAUCACCUGAAGCUGAAUGCGCUGGAUUAUCAACACCAGAAUGUGGUCAUCAUUUAGAGAUCGAAAAAAUAUGAUAUGCAAUUUUGGUUGGAGCAGCAUGGUGGUGUAAUCAAGGGUUAUCUGAGUUUAGGGUUGAUUUGUAUGUGCAAAAAUGUAUUGUGUAAUGAGAUGGGACAAGAUUGAUC